rnacentral:rRNA from 1 species
AGCGAACGCUGGCGGCAGGCUUAACACAUGCAAGUCGAACGGGCGUAGCAAUACGUCAGUGGCAGACGGGUGAGUAACGCGUGGGAACGUACCUUUUGGUUCGGAACAACACAGGGAAACUUGUGCUAAUACCGGAUAAGCCCUUACGGGGAAAGAUUUAUCGCCGAAAGAUCGGCCCGCGUCUGAUUAGCUAGUUGGUGAGGUAACGGCUCACCAAGGCGACGAUCAGUAGCUGGUCUGAGAGGAUGAUCAGCCACAUUGGGACUGAGACACGGCCCAAACUCCUACGGGAGGCAGCAGUGGGGAAUAUUGGACAAUGGGCGCAAGCCUGAUCCAGCCAUGCCGCGUGAGUGAUGAAGGCCCUAGGGUUGUAAAGCUCUUUUGUGCGGGAAGAUAAUGACGGUACCGCAAGAAUAAGCCCCGGCUAACUUCGUG